rnacentral:rRNA from 1 species
GACGAACGCUGGCGGCGUGCUUAACACAUGCAAGUCGAACGGUAAGGCCCUUCGGGGUACACGAGUGGCGAACGGGUGAGUAACACGUGGGUGAUCUGCCCUGCACUUCGGGAUAAGCCUGGGAAACUGGGUCUAAUACCGGAUAGGACCACUGCCUGCAUGGGGGGUGGUGGAAAGCUUUUGCGGUGUGGGAUGGGCCCGCGGCCUAUCAGCUUGUUGGUGGGGUGAUGGCCUACCAAGGCGACGACGGGUAGCCGGCCUGAGAGGGUGGCCGGCCACACUGGGACUGAGAUACGGCCCAGACUCCUACGGGAGGCAGCAGUGGGGAAUAUUGCACAAUGGGCGCAAGCCUGAUGCAGCGACGCCGCGUGAGGGAUGACGGCCUUCGGGUUGUAAACCUCUUUCAGCACCGACGAAGCGCAAGUGACGGUAGGUGCAGAAGAAGGACCGGCCAACUACGUGCCAGCCGCCGCGGUAA